UGUCAGAUUGGGGGCCGUGUCACACUAGGGCAGUAUACCUGUCAAAUUAAAAUGUAGCCUAUGAGGGUCAGUCCAGGGAAGACAGAAAUUUCCUGUGGAGCAGAAAGACAAAAGCUCACCUGAUCCUGAUUUCCAGAUUUUUUUGUGAAGGUAGAACCUUACGAUAUUUCUAUCUUUUUGUUUAGUAAGAAGGAAGUGUCAUAAAAAUUACCACA
rfam:Cuculus canorus isolate BGI_N303 unplaced genomic scaffold scaffold286, whole genome shotgun sequence.